ensembl:lncRNA
UGGUAACCAAAAGCGUUUGUUUCUUUCCCCUUUCCCAACCUCAGCGCACCAACCCUUUACCAAUGCGAGUUAACAUUAUAUCACCCGUUAAGGAGUUUUGACUAACACAACAGUUCUCAUCUGGCUUCACAGCACCUGUUCUGUUGCCCAUGGUCACCGUUUUAAGAAAUGUGUUAUUUAUAUAAUAUUAUUUAUAGUCCCGGUCGGCGGUUUUAUGAGGAUGGCGAUGAAGCACGAUGCGGACGCAGAUGAUGAUCCACCCUACAUGGUGAUCAAGACCAGAGACGACCACAGAGACCACAACUUUAGCAGAUCCGAACCUCCUCAACACAUAUCUUCUGUCCCUGGCCGAGGGGAUAUGUUUGGCAUGGCUUUCCAACUGGGAGAGGAAUACGAAAAGAAGAAGAAGAAACUUCAACAGGAGCUUCGGUUGGACUACAGGAGCUUUGUUUCCAAGAAAACAGACCUAAAAUUGAAUCAUCCCUCCACUCAACCCGAAACCCUGUCCUUGCUCUUUGACGAGCGGAAGUCGGCUCAGGAGAAGCUGAGGGACGAGAGGAAGAAGGAGUACAACCUAUUCCUCAAGGAGCAGGAGGGACUCAAAUCGGGCGUCUCGAAGAGACAGUCCAGCCUCCCUUCUAAGUCGUCCCCAUGGGGGCUCGACACGGACCCCUUGCCGCGGUCAGCGGGCGCGUCCCCCGUCCUGUUGCCCGACCACCACCAGCACUCUGACGACGGUUUCCACGACGACCCGCCUCCUCCGGCCAGGCGGGGGCGGUCCACGCCACAGGAGGAGGACGGAGGCGGGCCGUAUCCCAGACGACGGCGGCGGCAGUGGGAGGUGGGCCGGGAGGCGAGGAGACCCCCGCCGUGGUGGUUCUGAGGGGCGGAGCCUAUGAGAGGAGGAGACCCCCCAGGAGGAGGGGUAGGAGGAAGAGCCGGGCGGAGUACAGCUCCGAGGAGGAAGAGGAGGAGACGGCGAGCGGCGAGGAGGAGGAGCUGGAGUACGGCGGGAAGGAGUACGACCAGGGGACGGACGGAGGGCGCGGGGGGGCCGGGCGCCGGGAGGGGAGGAGGAAGGAGGACAGAGCAGACAGGCGUCAGAGGAGCAGGAAGGAGGACCACCUCUUCCCCCCCAUCAGGCCACCAGGGGGGGGGGCGUCCUGAAGCCCCGGUCAGCAACCUCCAGCAUGAAUCGACCCGCUACCGACCCCUUGGCCAUGAUGACCACGGAGCGCGCGAGGUCCGCGGCACCCCGGCCCCGCGCCGAGGCGGUCGCCACCGGACUGGCGAUUGGGGCGGUGGAAGGGAGCGAGGUCGCUCAGAUGAAGAAGGAGCGCUACCGCCUGGAGCUGCUGGAGCAGAUGGCCGAGAAGCAGAGGAGCAAGAGGAGGGAGAAGGACCUGGACAUGAGGUCGAUCACCACUGGGGCUUCAGACCCUGAGAAGAAGCCUGACCGCUUCGCCCAGCUUGGGUCCUCCACCCCCGGGCACGACGUCCCUAGGACGGGGCCUCCCAGGGG